rnacentral:lncRNA from 1 species
UGAAAAGACUGGCACAUGGUCAUGUGUACACAACUCUUCCAUUAAGAUGGAUCUCUUGCUGAAAGAAAUCACUCAAAAGAGAUUUCCAAAAAAGGAUGGAAAUGAAAACCAUUGAAAUCAUCUAAGGUACAUCAUCUGUUGCUGAAAUUUGUACUUUAGAUCCUAGUAAGGACUAAAGGUUAUCAUCUGCCUAUUGUCUGGCCUUCCCUGUGGGAUAUAGGUUUAAGGAAGGAGAUAUCUCUGCCUCAAGAAUGGCUACAUUGAGAAUCAGUCACAAGAAAUAUCAACCAACAUAAACCUCUUUGA